rnacentral:piRNA from 1 species
UUUUGGCUCGUAGAUUCAAUUGUU